UACGGAGGGAGCUAGCGUUGUUCGGAAUUACUGGGCGUAAAGCGUGCGCAGGCGGUUUUGUAAGUCUGUCGUGAAAGCCCCGGGCUCAACCUGGGAAUUGCGAUGGAGACUGCAAGGCUUGAAUCUGGCAGAGGGGGGUAGAAUUCCACGUGUAGCAGUGAAAUGCGUAGAGAUGUGGAGGAACACCGAUGGCGAAGGCAGCCCCCUGGGUCAAGAUUGACGCUCAUGCACGAAAGCGUGGGGGAGCAAACAGG
rnacentral:rRNA from 1 species